rnacentral:rRNA from 1 species
AGGAAGUAAAGUCGUACCAAGGUUUUUUUCAACCAUUCCGUAGGUGAACCUGC